rnacentral:rRNA from 1 species
UACGGGGGGGGGCAAGCGUUGUUCGGAAUUACUGGGCGUAAAGAGCGCGCAGGCGGUCGAUCAAGUCGAGUGUGAAAGCCCCCGGCUCAACUGGGGAGGGUCAUUCGAUACUGAUCGACUCGAAGGCAGGAGAGGGUAGUGGAAUUCCCGGUGUAGUGGUGAAAUGCGUAGAUAUCGGGAGGAACACCAGUGGCGAAGGCGACUACCUGGCCUGUUCUUGACGCUGAGGCGCGAAAGCUAGGGGAGCAAACAGGG